GCCCUUGUAGCUCAGUGGUAGAGCGCGUCACUAGUAUUCUACAGGUUGAACUGUGUUGCAAUGACGAGGUCGCUAGUUCGAUUCUAGUCGAGGGCA
rnacentral:tRNA from 1 species